GAUGAACGCUGGCGGCGUGCUUAACACAUGCAAGUCGAGCGGAAAGGCCCUUUCGGGGGUACUCGAGCGGCGAACGGGUGAGUAACACGUGAGUAAUCUGCCCUUGGCUUUGGGAUAGCUUCGGGAAACCGAAAUUAAUACCGGAUAUGACACGGUUUCGCAUGAGAUCUGUGUGGAAAGUUUUUCGGCCAGGGAGGUGCUCGCGGGCUAUCAGGUUGUUGGUGGGGUAAUGGCCUACCAAGGCUUCGACGGGUGGCCGGCCUGAGAGGGUGGCCGGCCACACUGGGACUGAGACGCGGCCCAGACUCCUACGGGAGGCAGCAGUGGGUAAUAUUGGACAAUGGGCGGAAGCCUGAUCCAGCAACGCCGCGUGAGGGAUGACGGCCUUCGGGUUGUAAACCUCUUUCACCUCCGACGAAGCGCAAGUGACGGUAGGUGGGGAAGAAGCACCGGCCAACUACGUGCCAGCCGCCGCGGUAACAC
rnacentral:rRNA from 1 species